AUUGAACGCUGGCGGCAUGCCUUACACAUGCAAGUCGAACGGCAGCACGGGGGCAAUCCUGGUGGCGAGUGGCGAACGGUGAGUAAUAUAUCGGAACGUGCCCAGUCGUGGGGGAUAACGUAGCGAAAGCUACGCUAAUACCGCAUACGAUCUAUGGAUGAAAGCGGGGGAUCGCAAGACCUCGCGCGAUUGGAGCGGCCGAUAUCAGAUUAGGUAGUUGGUGAGGUAAAGGCUCACCAAGCCGACGAUCUGUAGCUGGUCUGAGAGGACGACCAGCCGCACUGGGACUGAGACACGGCCCAGACUCCUACGGGAGGCAGCAGUGGGGAAUUUUGGACAAUGGGCGCAAGCCUGAUCCAGCAAUGCCGCGUGCAGGA
rnacentral:rRNA from 1 species